AACGAACGCUGGCGGCAUGCCUAACACAUGCAAGUCGAGCGAGACCUUCGGGUCUAGUGGCGCACGGGUGCGUAACGCGUGGGAACCUGCCCUUAGGUUCGGAAUAACUCCCCGAAAGGGGUGCUAAUACCGGAUAAUGUCUUCGGACCAAAGAUUUAUCGCCUUUGGAUGGGCCCGCGUUGGAUUAGCUAGUUGGUAGGGUAAAAGCCUACCAAGGCGACGAUCCAUAGCUGGUCUGAGAGGAUGAUCAGCCACACUGGGACUGAGACACGGCCCAGACUCCUACGGGAGGCAGCAGUGGGGAAUAUUGGACAAUGGGCGAAAGCCUGAUCCAGCAAGGCCGCGUGAGUGAUGAAGGCCUUAGGGUUGUAAAGCUCUUUUACCCGGGAUGAUAAUGACAGUACCGGGAGAAUAAGCUCCGGCUAACUCCGU
rnacentral:rRNA from 1 species